CCGGAGCAAACACUCCACUCCCUCACUACACAGACACAGGCGGAUAAGCUCCUCUCUCCCUCACAGAACACGACCGCCCCUCUUCCACUGCAUCCCCACCGGCGGCGAGACGAACACCCACCCCUGCCUGGUCCAUGGCGGCCGCCCUUCCCCAGCCGCUGAUCUAUGCCCCUCCACCCCCUGCUGCCGCUGCGCCGGUCCAUGGCGGCCGCCCUUCCCUUACCUCUCUUCACGCAGCCCGGAUCUGCCGCCUAUGGCUUCCACCUUGCUUCCCUUUUCCCCAUCGCUCUCCAGCCCCGCAACGGACCCGUUCGCCGCCACCAGCCUAGUCGGCAGCCACGGCUCCGCUCCGGCCGCCAUGGAUGAGCUUUGCCUCCAACGGAUCGUCGGCACCGACCACCGGGCAGCCUUGGAGGGAUCCGGCAGAGGCUCCCCACCUCGACUGCGGCUGGAGGAGGCCGUCGAUGCUUCCUACUUCGCGCCGUCCCAGCAACAAUGAGCGCCGCCGCGUCCGUCCAUGGGUACCCCCUGCUCAGCGGACUUCGUAGACGGUGAGGAAUCUGAGAUCCCCAUUAGGAUAAGUAUAUGUGACUGCUUUUGUCUAAAUCUUGCGUGAACUGAACAUAGUUGUGUGCAUACUGAACUUUGACUGAAAUAAUUGCUUGAGAGAAUUAGCUAUCAUCAAAUUGUCUAUUUUGUUAAAUUUAAUGUGUUUGUUUCAAAGUCUGCUAAAACAACUUGGAGACGUGCUUUGCUAUUGUAGGUUGACAUGAUGGGUGAGUAGUCUGCUGAUGACGAAGACCCUUAAUUAUGAUGUCAUCUACUCUCAUUUGGUACUACAGUAUUCUUAAUUGCGGACACUUCCUUUGUAGUUAAAAACGGCAUGAACAAUUGCAGCUUAUUGUUAGUUAUCUCCGAGCUGCACUGAGCAUUCUUACAUCGUUCGGCUUGUAGUAUUGUAUAAUUUCCUAAACACCAUCAAGUUUCCAGAAAGCUCGUUGUUAGAUGCAUUAUUGGAUAAUGUGACCGGUGCAACAUAUGCCCGGAAGGGCUCUUAAGGCCCUUUUCUUCUUCUAUUUAGAUAACAGAGGUCCUGGUCUUCUAGGAUUUACACUUGUUUCAGUCAUAAAUCUGUUGUUGCCUUUUUUGUGUGUUGAAAAUCAUGACUUUAUUGUUCGGAUCAUUUGAACGCUGCCUUGUUCCAGUUACCACCAUAUUUUCCCGAGGGACAUUAUUCUAUCCUUUUUAGAUGUUCUACAAGCAGUCUUGCCCGGGAAGAAAAUGCACAUCAUGGGGAACUUAAUAGUGGAGAAGAAAAACCCAGUCCAGGCAGGUGCGCUGGCUGAGGACUUGGUUGGCACCGACGCCGUCGGCUGCGGAAGGCGGCGAUGGCCAACACUCGCUGGACGGCGAUGGCGCAACAGUGGCUUGGCAGCGCCGACGUCUCACUGCAAUUGCGUUUGGACGGCGACAUCGAAGAAAGACACCGAGAUUAACUGGGAUGGAACUGGUCACAUAUUGUGCACAAGAGGAUAGUCUGCACAUGGCGGCUGCGAUGUACGUCCGGGUGGGCAAAGGCAGGAAGAUUGAGUUGAUUCCCGUAAGUUUAGCUGUUUGUUGUGAGGCGGACAUAUCAAUUGCCAUAAUUGUGGCUAUUUUUCUGUAGUUGAUUGGCUUGAUCUUUUUGUUUGCGUGGAGGUGGAACUGUUCGAUCGAAGGCAGAGUUUCGUCCGCUAUUCUAAAUUGCUAAACGCACACAGUGGAAUCAGUUUUCUUGACCCCAUGGGAGAAGUUAGAAGUGAUAUUCUCGAGAGUUCCCACCAACUGGUUUGAUGUAUGUUGGAACAGGGCUGACCUGCAUGAGUACUCAUUGAGGAGCAAGAGUAUCUCAGGCCCCACGCUUUCCUCGUUUAUCUCAGGCCCAAUGUUUUUUUUUUGUUUUUUUAUACCCCACACAUACAGAAUUAAAGGAGUUAUUUUCGUAAUACAUUUUUAUACAGAAUUAUUCGGUUCAGCUCAUCGGAACGUUUCAUCGAUACUUUUGUGUGCUUUCUCUUACCUUUUUUUAUAUACAUAAAGUUUACUUCUCUGUAUAGAAAAAUAAUUCUUGUAUCAUUUGUCUUGCCAGCUAGUUAACGUUUGUCUUGCCAGCUAGUUAAUGUAUCCUCAGCGGCCGUGCUUGAUAGGAGGGGCCAGGGAAGUGCUUUAAGUCGUUCCAAGAAUGUGAGACAGUGUCAAGUCUGUAAGGCAAGUCAAGGCGCUCCUGUUGCGGCAAGAUCCUUCAGCAGUGCAGGAGAUUAAGGGUUCCAUAAUCGAUUCCGCGCCUGUUGCUGUCCCCAAUUUUCAGAACUAUCCAGAACAGAAACAAGAGCAAUGAACGGAUGUCAUUGUUAACAUCUUCACACGCGUGCAAAUCAGCCUGCCGAGGAGUUUGCCGCCGCUGAUGCGCAGUCCGGAGACAGUCGCGUCAGUGUGGGCGACGACGUCUGAAAGAUUGAAGAGAAAGCAUGCACCUGUGUUGGCGAGGAGGUCGUCGUCGUGGAUGUCGCGGGCGUCGUCCUGGAUGUCGCGUCGUCGGCGUCGUCGGUGCGGGCGUCCUCGGCGCGGGCGUUUCGGUGGAGGGCAACUCUGAAGAGCGACAGGAGGAUUGGUCGCUGCUAAUUUUGGAGCGGAUGUGGCUGUUUUGGUGUGUUUUUUCUUUUCUUUUUGUUGGCGUUGGGUGAAGGACGGCAGAGUUUCGUCCGUCCACCUAAAUUGCUUAGCGUACAACGUCAGGGGUACUUUUCUGUAUUCACGGUUAGAUCCCAUUGAGUAGGCUUAUCUUGACCCUCCAAUUGAUGUGUUUUCUUCUGUGUACAGUAAGCGGUGUGCGUUUAGGGGAGUUAACGUUUGCUUAUUUUAUAGUAGUAGAGAUAUUCAUAUAGAUUAGUGUUCGGAACCAAGAGGUCACAGUCAGUGUGAAUUUUAUAUGUACAUAUUAAUUUAA